GACGAACGCUGGCGGCGUGCUUAACACAUGCAAGUCGAACGGUAAGGCCCCAGCUUGCUGGGGUACACGAGUGGCGAACGGGUGAGUAACACGUGGGUGACCUGCCCCGCACUUCGGGAUAAGCCUGGGAAACUGGGUCUAAUACCGGAUAGGACCGCACCGUGAGGGUGUGGUGGAAAGUUUUUCGGUGUGGGAUGGGCCCGCGGCCUAUCAGCUUGUUGGUGGGGUAAUGGCCUACCAAGGCGGCGACGGGUAGCCGGCCUGAGAGGGUGGACGGCCACAUUGGGACUGAGACACGGCCCAGACUCCUACGGGAGGCAGCAGUGGGGAAUAUUGCACAAUGGGCGGAAGCCUGAUGCAGCGACGCCGCGUGGGGGAUGACGGCCUUCGGGUUGUAAACUCCUUUCACCAUCGACGAAGGUUUUCUGACGGUAGAUGGAGAAGAAGCACCGGCUAACUACG
rnacentral:rRNA from 1 species